rnacentral:rRNA from 1 species
GAGUUUGAUCUUGGCUCAGGACGAACGCUGGCGGCGUGCUUAACACAUGCAAGUCGAACGGUAAGGCCCCUUUGGGGUACACGAGUGGCGAACGGGUGAGUAACACGUGAGCAACCUACCCUUGACUCUGGAAUAACAGCUGGAAACAGCUGCCAAUACCGGAUACGACCUCUUGCGGCAUCGCAGGGGGUGAAAGUUCCGGCGGUCGGGGAUGGGCUCGCGGCCUAUCAGCUAGU